rnacentral:rRNA from 1 species
CAGCACGAAUAGCAAUAUUUGGUGGCGACCGGCAAACGGGUGCGGAACACGUACGCAACCUUCCUUUAAGUGGGGAAUAGCCCGGGGAAACCCGGAUUAAUACCCCGUAAUAUUAUGAUGUGGCAUCACUUUAUAAUUAUAGAUUUAUCGCUUAAAGAUGGGCGUGCGCCUGAUUAGGUAGUUGGCGGGGUAACGGCCCACCAAGCCAGCGAUCAGUAACUGGUGUGAGAGCACGACCAGUCACACGGGCACUGAGACACGGGCCCGACUCCUACGGGAGGCAGCAGUAAGGAAUAUUGGUCAAUGGACGCAAGUCUGAACCAGCCAUGCCGCGUGGAGGAUGAAGGUCCUCUGGAUUGUAAACUUCUUUUAUUUGGGAAGAAAUGUGAUUAUUCUUUUUCACUUGACGGUACCAGAUGAAUAAGCACCGGCUAACUCCGUGCCAGCAGCCGCGGUAAUACGGAGGGUGCAAGCGUUAUCCGGAUUUACUGGGUUUAAAGGGUGCGCAGGCGGAUAUGUAAGUCAGUGGUGAAAUCUCCGGGCUUAACCCGGAAAUUGCCGUUGAUACUAUAUAUCUUGAAUGCUGUGGAGGUAAGCAGAAUAUGUCAUGUAGCGGUGAAAUGCUUAGAUAUGACAUAGAAUACCUAUUGCGAAGGCAGCUUACUACGCAGAUAUUGACGCUCAUGCACGAAAGCGUGGGGAUCAAACAGGAUUAGAUACCCUGGUAGUCCACGCCCUAAACGAUGAUUACUCGACAUACGCGAUACACUGUGUGUGUCUGAGCGAAAGCAUUAAGUAAUCCACCUGGGAAGUACGAUCGCAAGAUUGAAACUCAAA